GAAAAAGAACCUGAAACCGUGUACGUACAAGCAGUGGGAGCACAGAGCAAUCUGUGUGACUGCGUACCUUUUGUAUAAUGGGUCAGCGACUUAUAUUCUGUAGCAAGGUUAACCGAAUAGGGGAGCCGAAGGGAAACCGAGUCUUAACUGGGCGUUAAGUUGCAGGGUAUAGACCCGAAACCCGGUGAUCUAGCCAUGGGCAGGUUGAAGGUUGGGUAACACUAACUGGAGGACCGAACCGACUAAUGUUGAAAAAUUAGCGGAUGACUUGUGGCUGGGGGUGAAAGGCCAAUCAAACCGGGAGAUAGCUGGUUCUCCCCGAAAGCUAUUUAGGUAGCGCCUCGUGAAUUCAUCUCCGGGGGUAGAGCACUGUUUCGGCAAGGGGGUCAUCCCGACUUACCAACCCGAUGCAAACUGCGAAUACCGGAGAAUGUUAUCACGGGAGACACACGGCGGGUGCUAACGUCCGUCGUGAAGAGGGAAACAACCCAGACCGCCAGCUAAGGUCCCAAAGUCAUGGUUAAGUGGGAAACGAUGUGGGAAGGCCCAGACAGCCAGGAUGUUGGCUUAGAAGCAGCCAUCAUUUAAAGAAAGCGUAAUAGCUCACUGGUCGAGUCGGCCUGCGCGGAAGAUGUAACGGGGCUAAACCAUGCACCGAAGCUGCGGCAGCGACACUGUGUGUUGUUGGGUAGGGGAGCGUUCUGUAAGCCUGUGAAGGUGUGCUGUGAGGCAUGCUGGAGGUAUCAGAAGUGCGAAUGCUGACAUAAGUAACGAUAAAGCGGGUGAAAAGCCCGCUCGCCGGAAGACCAAGGGUUCCUGUCCAACGUUAAUCGGGGCAGGGUGAGUCGACCCCUAAGGCGAGGCCGAAAGGCGUAGUCGAUGGGAAACAGGUUAAUAUUCCUGUACUUGGUGUUACUGCGAAGGGGGGACGGAGAAGGCUAUGUUGGCCGGGCGACGGUUGUCCCGGUUUAAGCGUGUAGGCUGGUUUUCCAGGCAAAUCCGGAAAAUCAAGGCUGAGGCGUGAUGACGAGGCACUACGGUGCUGAAGCAACAAAUGCCCUGCUUCCAGGAAAAGCCUCUAAGCAUCAGGUAACAUCAAAUCGUACCCCAAACCGACACAGGUGGUCAGGUAGAGAAUACCAAGGCGCUUGAGAGAACUCGGGUGAAGGAACUAGGCAAAAUGGUGCCGUAACUUCGGGAGAAGGCACGCUGAUAUGUAGGUGAAGUCCCUCGCGGAUGGAGCUGAAAUCAGUCGAAGAUACCAGCUGGCUGCAACUGUUUAUUAAAAACACAGCACUGUGCAAACACGAAAGUGGACGUAUACGGUGUGACGCCUGCCCGGUGCCGGAAGGUUAAUUGAUGGGGUCAGCGCAAGCGAAGCUCUUGAUCGAAGCCCUGGUAAACGGCGGCCGUAACUAUAACGGUC
rnacentral:rRNA from 1 species